AGCGCACACCAUCUCAAAUACAUGCACAUACUGAACUUUGGGCUAAGUCAAGACAACGCCCUUUGUCGAAAAAGGAAGCAGCUGUCUCCAAAUAUAAAGAGCACAAGCUUAAGACCGAGAAUCACUUCCCAGGAUGGCCUGGGAUACUCAGUGAUGAACCCACGGUGACCUGGUGCUUCCUGCCCCGAGACCUGACAGCCUCAACACUCUGGGUAAAGUAAAUUAAAAACCCGGACAACUGGAGUCUUUGAGAAUGAAAACGACAUCGGGAUUCCAGACAGCUGACUCGCUCAGAGCUCCAACUGGGUGUACGCACGGCGAGUAAAGCCAACUCCUACAACGACACGUCACCGUGCUGGGCCGCUUCUUGGCUGGUGGGCGGGGCGACCCCUACUUCCGGAUCCGGCCUCUUCUGGCAGGACAGUCAGGGAUACACAGAGAAAAAACAAAAACAAAAACCAAAACCAAAAAAACAAACAAAAAAAGGGCAUAAGCUCUCAGCUAUUGCUCCAGCACCAUGCCUGCCCCCAUCAUGCUCUCUGACAUGGUGGUCAUGAACCAAUUCUGAAAUCGUGAGCUUUUAAAAUUAAACACUUUCCAUUUUAAGUUCCCUUGGUUAUGGUGUCUCUUCCCAGCAUAGAAAAGCAAUUUUAAUGGCUUAUAAAUCAGGACUUAUAGAGAGGGAUUAUUUGGUCAGCAUAACCUAGAAAAAUUAUAUUACAGUUUGAUUAUAUGAUCAAACUAAAAAGAAAAAAAGGCAGUUGCCUUUCACCUACUCAAAGAACAAAAAAUCAUCCUGACUGAUCUGUGCACCCUGCACAUUCCAUACAAAUGUCUUUCUAGAACUAAAUACUGAUUGUAAGGUUUAUAUAUUACAGAAUGAAACACCAAGAGGGCAGCCCUGACAGGAUUCACCCCCAGGGAUGCUAAGACGCUGAGACCUGCUGUUCCAGCUCACUGAUUGAUCCUGCCUAAACUGAUGCUCUUUUCAGAGACUUGCUUCCAGAACAGCGUCAGGAAAGACUGCUGAUCCCAGAUGACCUUAACUCAGCCAGCCAUUCAAACCAUCCCAAUCAAGACUUCAGUUAAGGCCUGAACUUUCUGAACACAGAGACAGGACAACAAAUGAUGCCAGCUAGCUUUCUUUCCACAUUACCGUUUUCCAAUUCCCUUUUGGGUCCCCAAACAGGAAUUCCUCAUCAAUAUUCAUUAUUU
rnacentral:lncRNA from 1 species